rnacentral:rRNA from 1 species
UCGCACCUACCGAUUGAAUGAUUCGGUGAAAAUUCUGGACUGUGGCUCGGAUGCCUUCGGGCAACUUUGCUAUGGGAAGUUAUUUAAACCUCAUCAUUUAGAGGAAGGUGAAGUCGUAACAAGGUUUCCGUAGGUGAACCUGCGGAAGGAUCAUUACCACACCCUUCAAAAGA